rnacentral:lncRNA from 1 species
AUGGCAGGGUGCUUGGCAACAUCAGGAACCAGCUCUGUCAGCAGUGACCAUCUCCUCAGAGCACAACACAUCCACAAAAACCCCACAGCAACGCACGAGGCAGCUGGGAAAGCAGGGACAGCUUGUUGUGAAAAGCCUUUUUGGGUGUCACUCAGGAGGAUUUCAGGUCUCGGCAUAGCCAGAGGAGCAUCACUCCUGCCCACCUGUGAACAGCAGAGUUCUGCUGAAGGCACCAGGAAUCCUUUUGAGGGCACCAGGAGGCUCAGGGUGAGGGUGACAGGCAUGUUUGUCACUCCUUUAAUGGCUUCAGCUGGAGGUGGGAAGGGUAGAGCUGCCUGCAGUAAUGACAGUGUGGAGACUCUGCUGUGGGAGGGCAGGAAACACUGGGGGACCUGCCUGACAGCUCGAUUUGCAAUGGGCUUGGCUCCAUUUGAAUGCCAUGCAGAUGCGUGGAUCUUGGCACUGCAGAGCUGGAUCCUCUUCUCUUGGGAUCUCUGGUGGAAGGAAGCUUCUGGGGAGUCUCUUCCUCGUGUCUUCUGAGCUUCAGUUGGCAAAAAUUUGUGAACGAGCUCCUGUGGUUAUUUAAUUCUAAUGUAACUGCAUUUGCCCAGAGCUAGUGGAAAUUGCUCUGCUACCAGUCCGUCCAUUAGUAGCCAAGAGCUUGUCAUACAAAAAUUCCUCACUGAUGGCAGACAAGGGGAAAAAACUCAUUUUAGACUCAUAGCUGUAGUGCAGCCAUGUCUGCCCCACUGUCCCCAGUGCUCACACGGUGUCCUGGCAGGGACCAUCAGCUCUCCUGCCCUGGCAGCAAGGUGUGAAACAGCAAAUGAAGUGUCCAGGCAGCACAGCCUGAAGGCAGCCGGGGGAAUGGUCCAAACAUUUCAUCACAAGCCUCCUCCUUCGUCUUGGGGCCACUCCUGGUUGUGGCUGCCCAGCUCCAAGGAGGAGGAUGAGCUGCUGGCAGAGCCAAAGAAGGUGCUUUCCAGGCAGAAGAGGGCACAGCAUCGGCUGCAGAAGACAGCCUGGACCCAAGUGCUGCUGAGCAGCAAUUCCUGGGCCUGGUGCAGCAAAAGUCAGCUUAGCACAUUCAGAAAAGUGAACCCUGCUCCCAGAAGAUGCCUGCAGGCUCUUUCUUUCAAACAGGUGGGAGUGAUAAAAUGUGUUCUUUAACCUCAUGGCCCCAGAUCUUGCAAGAGAAUUAUUUAAUAUUUAAUUUUAAAAUAAAAAAAUAUCUGGAAUGGCUCA